rnacentral:tRNA from 1 species
UCCCUGGUGGUCUAGUGGUUAGGAUUCGGCGCUCUCACCACCACGGUCCGUGUUUGAUUCCUGGUCAGGGAA